AUUGAACGCUGGCGGCAUGCCUUACACAUGCAAGUCGAACGGUAACAGCACUUCGGUGGCUGACGAGUGGCGAACGGGUGAGUAAUACAUCGGAACGUGCCCGAGAGUGGGGGAUAACGCAGCGAAAGCUGUGCUAAUACCGCAUACGAUCUACGGAUGAAAGCAGGGGACCGCAAGGCCUUGCGCUCAUGGAGCGGCCGAUGGCAGAUUAGGUAGUUGGUGGGAUAAAAGCUUACCAAGCCGACGAUCUGUAGCUGGUCUGAGAGGACGACCAGCCACACUGGGACUGAGACACGGCCCAGACUCCUACGGGAGGCAGCAGUGGGGAAUUUUGGACAAUGGGGGAAACCCUGAUCCAGCCAUGCCGCGUGCAGGAUGAAGGCCUUCGGGUUGUAAACUGCUUUUCCCCGGGGCGAAUAACCCCCUCGCGAGGGGGGAUGCCGGUACCGGGGGAAUAAGGAUCGGCUAACUCCGUG
rnacentral:rRNA from 1 species